rnacentral:rRNA from 1 species
UGGCUCAGAUUGAACGCUGGCGGCAGGCCUAACACAUGCAAGUCGAACGGUAACAUUUCUAGCUUGCUAGAAGAUGACGAGUGGCGGACGGGUGAGUAAUGCUUGGGAACUUGCCUUUGCGAGGGGGAUAACAGUUGGAAACGACUGCUAAUACCGCAUAAUGUCUUCGGACCAAACGGGGCUUAGGCUCCGGCGCAAAGAGAGGCCCAAGUGAGAUUAGCUAGUUGGUAAGGUAGCGGCUUACCAAGGCGACGAUCUCUAGCUGUUCUGAGAGGAAGAUCAGCCACACUGGGACUGAGACACGGCCCAGACUCCUACGGGAGGCAGCAGUGGGGAAUAUUGCACAAUGGGGGAAACCCUGAUGCAGCCAUGCCGCGUGUGUGAAGAAGGCCUUCGGGUUGUAAAGCACUUUCAGUUGUGAGGAAAAGUUAGUAGUUAAUACCUGCUAGCCGUGACGUUAACAACAGAAGAAGCACCGGCUAACUCCGUGCCAGCAGCCGCGGUAAUACGGAGGGUGCGAGCGUUAAUCGGAAUUACUGGGCGUAAAGCGCACGCAGGCGGUUUGUUAAGCUAGAUGUGAAAGCCCCGGGCUCAACCUGGGAUGGUCAUUUAGAACUGGCAGACUAGAGUCUUGGAGAGGGGAGUGGAAUUCCAGGUGUAGCGGUGAAAUGCGUAGAUAUCUGGAGGAACAUCAGUGGCGAAGGCGACUCCCUGGCCAAAGACUGACGCUCAUGUGCGAAAGUGUGGGUAGCGAACAGGAUUAG